rnacentral:rRNA from 1 species
GGAGAGUAUCCUAAGGUGAGCGAGAGAACUAUGGUUAAGGAACUCGGCAAAAUGACCCCGUAACUUCGGGAGAAGGGGUGGUCACUAGAUGACCGACACUAAAGACGCCCAGGCAACUGUUUACCAAAAACACAGGUCUCUGCUAAGUCGUAAGACGAUGUAUAGGGGCUGACACCUGCCCAGUGCUGGAAGGUUAAGAGGAGUGCUUAGAUAGACGCAAGUCGAUUAUUCGAAGGUACGAAUUGAAGCCCCAGUGAACGGCGGCCGUAACUAUAACGGUCCUAAGGUAGCGAAAUUCCUUGUCAGGUAAGUUCUGACCCGCACGAAAGGUGUAAUGAUCUGGGCACUGUCUCAACCAUAGACUCGGUGAAAUCUUAAUACCUGUGAAAAUGCAGGUUACCCGCAACAGGACGGAAAGACCCCAUGGAGCUUUACUGUAGCUUGAUAUUGAAGUUCGGUAUAUUAUGUAGAGAAUAGGUGGGAGACUAUGAAGUUAGGACGCUAGUUCUAAUGGAGUCACCUUUGGAAUACCACCCUUAAUGUAUUGAAUUUCUAACCUCGAUUCAUUAUCUGGAUCAGGGACAUUGUCUGGUGGGCAGUUUGACUGGGGCGGUCGCCUCCCAAAAAGUAACGGAGGCGCCCAAAGGUUCCCUCAGAAUGGUUGGAAAUCAUUCAAAGAGCGUAAAGGUAUAAGGGAGCUUGACUGCGAGACCAACAAGUCGAGCAGAUACGAAAGUAGGGCUUAGUGAUCAGACGAUUCAGAAUGGAAUGGUCGUCGCUUAACGGAUAAAAGUUACCCUGGGGAUAACAGGCUGAUACCACCCAAUAGUUCACAUAGACGGUGGUGUUUGGCACCUCGAUGUCGGCUCGUCGUAUCCUGGAGGUGAAGUCGCUUCCAAGGGUUGGGCUGUUCGCCCAUUAAAACGGCACGCGAGCUGGGUUCAGAACGUCGUGAGACAGUUCGGUCCCUAUCCGUCGUGGGCGUAGGAAAAUUGAAGAGAGCUAUCCUUAGUACGAGAGGACCGGGAUGGACAUACCUCUGGUGUAUCUGUUGUAGCGCCAGCUGCAGUGCAGAGUAGCUAUGUAUGGAAAGGAUAACCGCUGAAAGCAUCUAAGCGGGAAGCCUCCUUUGAGAUGAGUUUUCCCAUAUUUUAUAUAGUAAGAUCCCUUGAAGACUACAAGGUUGAUAGGCUG